UUGGGAUAUGAGGAUCCUGCUUGACAUGGCCACAGCCAUCUUGGUCAUAACUGUCAUUUUGCCUGCCAGGUGACUCUGGCAUGAAUCCUGAACUCUGAAGGACAAAACAUUUGUCAAAAUAAUCAGCUGGCUGUUAUUGCCUGGACUGUUUUUUAAUCAGUAUUAGCCAUAUUAAUCCUUUCUUAAGAAAGGCCAGGUACAAUCUUGUUGGCUAUAGCCUUUGUCUAGUUUAGCAUACAAACCCCUUCCUCUAGACUUGCUGCUCUAGGUAGGCUUCUGUCCCGAAGUUUCUAAUAAAUUGCAUUUUGUGCAGUCAUGGUUCUGUCUGCCUCUUGAUGUGGUCUUAUUAGCAUCUUCCUCUUUUGGGGGCUAAUUCUUGUUCUGGAACUGUAUUUUUCCAAAACAAGGGGGCAAAAUUACUUUUGGCUGAGGACCACUGUUUUAUACGCAUUAGUGGCACAUAGUUAUCACUUCAAUGAUGAUAGGAAUGAUGGAAAAGUGAUACUUUAAAGCACUAUAGAAUUUUGGGGGAAAAGGCAGAAUGUUUUUUGAAAUUAAAAACAAAUACUUUUGAUUGAGCAAUCCUUACUACUGAGAACAUAUCACAUGAAGAUCUUUGCAUUUUAUCAAUUUAUCAUUUGAUCACUGUAGUCUUGAGUCUUUUCUUGAACAUUGUUUAGUUCUUAAUUGUUUCCUCUUAUUUCAGAACUCUCUUGAUAGAGCACAAGCAGCCAAGAACAAAGGCAAUAAAUAUUUUAAAGCAGGAAAAUAUGAGCAAGCUAUUCAGUGCUAUACUGAGGCUAUUAGUUUGUGCCCUACUGAGAAGAAUGUUGACCUUUCCACGUUUUAUCAAAACAGAGCUGCUGCCUUUGAACAGUUGCAAAAAUGGAAAGAGGUGGCACAAGAUUGUACAAAGGCUGUUGAACUUAAUCCCAAAUAUGUGAAAGCUCUCUUUAGACGUGCAAAAGCCCACGAGAAGCUAGACAAUAAGAAGGAAUGUUUAGAAGAUGUCACUGCUGUGUGUAUAUUGGAAGGGUUCCAAAAUCAACAAAGCAUGCUAUUAGCUGAUAAAGUUCUUAAACUUCUUGGAAAAGAGAAAGCCAAAGAAAAAUACAAG